UACGUAGGGAGCAAGCGUUGUCCGGAAUCAUUGGGCGUAAAGCGCGCGUAGGUGGCCUCAUAAGUCCGCUGUGAAAGUCCAGGGCUCAACCCUGGAAUGCCGGUGGAAACUGUCGAGCUAGAGUCCGGAAGAGGCGAGUGGAAUUCCUGGUGUAGCGGUGAAAUGCGCAGAUAUCAGGAGGAACACCAAUGGCGAAGGCAGCUCGCUGGGACGGUACUGACGCUGAGACGCGAAAGCGUGGGGAGCAAACAGG
rnacentral:rRNA from 1 species